ensembl:rRNA 5S_rRNA 5S ribosomal RNA
GCUUACGGCCAUACCACCCUGAACACGCCCGAUCUCGUCUGAUCUCGGAAGCUAAGCAGGGUCGUGCCUGGUUAGUACUUGGAUGGGAGACCGCCUGGGAAUACCAGGUGCUGUAAGCU